ensembl:lncRNA
GCUGAAUACAACAGGUGUAGUAGACCUUACAGUGAAAUGCUGAAUACAACAGGUGUAGUAGACCUUACAGUGAAAUGCUGAAUACAACAGGUGUAGUAGACCUUAUAGUGAAAUGCUGAAUACAACAGGUGUAGUAGACCUUACAGGGAAAUGCUGAAUACAACAGGUGUAGUAGACCUUACAGUGAAAUGCUGAAUACAACAGGUGUAGUAGACCUCACAGUGAAAUGCUGAAUACAACAGGUGUAGUAGACCUCACAGUGAAAUGCUGAAUACAACAGGUGUAGUAGACCUUACAGUGAAAUGCUGAAUACAACAGGUGUAGUAGACCUCACAGUGAAAUGCUGAAUACAACAGGUGUUGUAG